GGGCAUGUAGCGCAGUUGGUAGCGCGCUCGCUUAGCAAGCAUGACAAAGCACGUCACGUGACUGCGAGAGGUCUUGGGUUCAAUUCCCAACUUGUCCA